rnacentral:misc_RNA from 1 species
AUUGUAUUGGGCCCCACUUUAACGCCCCUAACAAAAUUUAAUUAAAUUAAAAAUAUUAACAAUUUUAAAUUAAAAGCCAUUUAUGGAGGAGUAGUCCUAUUCUCGCCGGCCAUCAGUGACCUCAACAAUCACAGGCAGCUCUAUCGCCGUCCGAUUAAUGAUUUUCUGUGCGACGCCUACAUGCGUGACAUAAUACCAUAGAGAUCUUAUUAACAAACUAAAUUAAAGGUCAUUUAUGGAGGAAUUUAACAAAGGGGGCAAUAUUGUUUUCAAGGGUGGGUGUGG